GGUAAUCUAUAACCUUUAACAUGAACUUUUAUUAUAAGUUAUCAAAAUUAAACUCUAAUAAUUACUUUAAAAGGUUACCACAAGGAAAGUUUUUAAUCGGAAUCAACUCAUACUUGUUAAACUAUAAAAAGUAAAUUCAAAUGCACAUAUAAAAUUGCAUCUAGGUUUGUUCUAAGAAGAUAAGCUAAAGUGUAGGCAGAGCAACCUGGAUCAAUCAUAUUCUCUUGAGAGUAUUACUGUCACCUGAGCUCUUCUUACCUGUUCCUAUUAGGCAAAUUCACACACCAAAGAGAAGCAUUACAUUGAUAAUUUUCAUGAUCAAUUGUUUCGUCCUCUUCAAGGUUUUUUUUAAUGGUGAAUUUUAUUUUUGCAGUGCAAGAGGAUGGUUUUUGAAUAUGGACCUUUGAUUAUUGUCAAAGCAGAGAAGUACCUGAAAACAACAGAUAUAUGCACUGCAUUACAUGUUUGUCCAGCUUCCACUGCAGUUAGCAACAACGAAGCCUCAAUCAUGGAAGAAGUACCUUUGAUUUCUGACUCUUAAUCGUGGGAGAAGAGUUCUAUUACAUUUAUGCAGUGCUUAUUGCUUUAGUUCUACUCCUGAUGU
rnacentral:lncRNA from 1 species